rnacentral:rRNA from 1 species
CCUACGGGAGGCAGCAGUGAGGAAUAUUGGUCAAUGGGCGCGAGCCUGAACCAGCCAAGUAGCGUGAAGGAUGACUGCCCUACGGGUUGUAAACUUCUUUUAUAAAGGAAUAAAGUGUGGCACGUGCGCCUUUUUGUAUGUACUUUAUGAAUAAGGAUCGGCUAACUCGGUUCCAGCAGCCGCGGUAAUACGGAGGAUCCGGGCGUUAUCCGGAUUUAUUGGGGUUAAAGGGAGCGUAGAUGGGUUGUUAAGUAAGUUGUGAAAGUUUGCGGCUCAACCGUAGAGUUGCAAUUGAUACUGGAAGCCUUGAGUACAGUAGAGGUAGGCGGAAUUCGUGGUGUAGCGGUGAAAUGCUUAGAUAUCACGAAGAACUCCAGUUGCGAAGGCAGCUUACUAGACUGCCACUGACAUUGAUGCUCGAAAGUGUGGGUAUCAAACAGGAUUAGAUACCCGAGUAGUC